UGUGGGAGCGGGCUUGCUCGCGAAGGCGUUUUGUCAGUUAACCAUGUGUUGACUGACACUCUGCAUUCGCGAGCAAGCCCGCUCCCACA
rnacentral:antisense_RNA from 1 species